GUGGAUGGAGAUUGGUCGCCAAAUUGAUAAUCGGGAUGAGCCAAAUUGAUGUCGGGAUAGUUCCCAUUUGGACGAUGAUGAGCGCACCGAAUUAACAUACUGCUACACCAAGAAGUGGGCUCUCCACAUCAUGGUUCGCAUGUUCGAGGGGUAUGGAAGUCCCAGCAACGUAGUUAGUGAAAAGCAC